rnacentral:rRNA from 1 species
GGGAGAAAGCAGGGGACCUUCGGGCCUUGCGCUAUCAGAUGAGCCUAGGUCGGAUUAGCUAGUUGGUGGGGUAAUGGCUCACCAAGGCGACGAUCCGUAACUGGUCUGAGAGGAUGAUCAGUCACACUGGAACUGAGACACGGUCCAGACUCCUACGGGAGGCAGCAGUGGGGAAUAUUGGACAAUGGGCGAAAGCCUGAUCCAGCCAUGCCGCGUGUGUGAAGAAGGUCUUCGGAUUGUAAAGCACUUUAAGUUGGGAGGAAGGGCAGUAAAUUAAUACUUUGCUGUUUUGACGUUACCGACAGAAUAAGCACCGGCUAACUCUGUGCCAGCAGCCGCGGUAAUACAGAGGGUGCAAGCGUUAAUCGGAAUUACUGGGCGUAAAGCGCGCGUAGGUGGUUCGUUAAGUUGGAUGUGAAAUCCCCGGGCUCAACCUGGGAACUGCAUUCAAAACUGACGAGCUAGAGUAUGGUAGAGGGUGGUGGAAUUUCCUGUGUAGCGGUGAAAUGCGUAGAUAUAGGAAGGAACACCAGUGGCGAAGGCGACCCCCU